rnacentral:rRNA from 1 species
GACGAACGCUGGCGGCGUGCUUAACACAUGCAAGUCGAACGGAGUGGCGAACGGGUGAGUAACACGUGGGUUACCCCCCCUGCUCUUCGGGAUAAGCCUGGGAAACUGGGUUUACUCCCGGUUAGUGGGGGAUGGGCCCGCGGCCUAUCAGCUUGUUGGUGGGGUAAUGGCCUACCAAGGCGGCGACGGGUAGCCGGCCUGAGAGGGUGGACGGUCACAUUGGGACUGAGACACGGCCCAGACUCCUACGGGAGGCAGCAGUGGGGAAUAUUGCACAAUGGGCGGAAGCCUGAUGCAGCAACGCCGCGUGGGGGAUGACGGCCUUCGGGUUGUAAACCGCUUUCACCCACGACGCGGUAGAUGGAGAAGAAGCACCGGCUAACUACGUGCCAGCAGCCGCGGUAAUAC